CGCUGAGGCACGAAAGCGUGGGGAGCAAACAGGAUUAGAUACCCUGGUAGUCCACGCCGUAAACGAUGAGUACUAAAUGUUGGGUAAAACCAGUGUUGAAGUUAACACAUUAAGUACUCCGCCUGAGUAGUACGUACGCAAGUAUGAAACUUAAAGGGAUUGACGGGACUCCGCACAAGCGGUGGAUCAUGUUGUUUAAUUCGAAGGUACCCGAAAAACCUCACCAGGUCUUGACAUGCUUCUGCAAAGCUGUAGAAGCACAGUGGAGGUUAUCAGUUGCACAGGUGGUGCAUGGUUGUCGUCAGCUCGUGUCGUGAGGUGUUGGGUUAAGUCCCGCAACGAGCGCAACCCUUAUUGUUAGUUGCCGGCACGUAAUGGUGGGGACUUUAGCAAGACUGCCAGUGAUAAAUUGGAGGAAGGUGGGGACGACGUCAAAUCAUCAUGCCCCUUAUGACCUGGGCUACAAACGUGGUACAAUGGCUGUUACAAAGGGUA
rnacentral:rRNA from 1 species